rnacentral:misc_RNA from 1 species
AACAGAGCCCCCGAGCGUUAUCCGGAUUUAUUGGGCGUAAAGGGUCCGUAGCCGGUCUGGCAAGUUCUGGGUUAAAUACUUCGGGCUUAACCUGAGGGAUGCCUAGAAAACUGCCAAACUAGAGGACGUCAUGGGCUGAUGGAACGCACGGUGGAGGGGUGGAAUCCGUUGAUAUCGUGCGGAACACCAAAAGCGAAGGCAUUCAGCUGGGGCGAUCCUGACGGUGAGGGACGAAAGCGUGGGGCGCAAAGAGG